AGCAAGGCAGUUGAAGGAGGAGAAGGAAAAAUUUUAAAAAAUCCACUUUGUUCCCUGUUACCUGUUUUUCUAAAAGGUGCAGUGAAGAAUGAGGGAAAGUACUUGAAGUGCAUGGCUUCAUUUAGAACGUGUGUUCCCCGUCGCCAUCGGUAAUUGGGACCUUGCAGAGUAUGGAGCACCACUGCCACCUCAGAGAUGAAAGUGGAAUCCAGGAUCAAGGCCUGUUUGUCAUCUGGGGGCUGUGAGGCCAUUUGGAAGAAUAGAGAAGGCUCUGCUUCUGGAAAGAACUAACGGAGAAAAGGGCUGGGGUGGCGAUGACACACAGCCCCCCUCUAGUGCUCUGGGCAUAUAAUGCCUUUCCUUCUCUCUUCUCCUAUUUCCACAGAUUUCAAGUAUAUUGAUCAUUAAAUAAGCUAAUUAUGUUUCCUUUCUAAUGAAUUAAACAGAAUUCAGGUAGGGAGCACAGUACUUUAGCUGAACAGAGAUUUUUUUGUAAUGAUUCCAGGAAAUAUUCCUUUGUCUAAUAAAUACACUCAAGGUACCAAGAGCAAUAAAGAUGCAGGGGUAUUUUGCUUUCUUUGUACCUUCAUUGUGGGUUAGGUUGAUGAUGAAUCUAUUGCCGGUAGGAUAUGGUUUCCUCUUGUGCAGAAAUGCCAGACUUGCAACCCUGGGUGGGGGACGGACUCAGAAUUUGAUUUCCUCCUUCCUCCAGCAAUUUUCUGCCUGCCUGCACGAAAUGCUAAUGAACAUCUCACACAUGAUAGGGCAGUGAAGUGUAUCCUUAUUCUACUAUUUUUGGCAGAUUCUGACUUUACAAUGUCUAGGUCUUAAUGCAACAAGAACAAGAUACUGCUAACAGGCCCUUCUCCUUCCUUCUCCAAAUGUGUGCUCUCUCUCUUUGUGCCAAGCGGAUGUGUGGUGUCCCUGAUCUGAGGAGGGCCACCCACAGGUUCUGUGGGUGACAGAAGAGUGCAUGAGGCCCAAGGAUGCAACCUUGCUAACUGCAGAGACAACAUUGAUUGAUGAGGAGCCCAAACAUAUGAAGUUGGGCUUCACCCUGCUUCCUAUUUGCAACCCACUCAAGGCUGCCUGUGACAUUCGGCAUGGUUUAUUUCAAAGGUGGAAGAGUGAGAGAGAGGAGAGAUGGAUUUUGUACAUGCAACAAAGCUUAAAAAGAUCCUGGACAGAGAGGAAGGGGAGUCUGGGGAUACAUUCCCCAACACGAAUCCAGUUUGUCCAGAGUCCCCUGGUUCUGAGGUUUAAUUCAGGCUCCGUGUCUCUUUACGUCUGUGACCUUCUGCUCUCCUCAUUUAUCUUCUCAGUGAUCUCAGAAUUUCUAAUGUUUGAUAUUGGAGUUACUAUGUAAAAGUCCAUGGCUGCAAAAUAUGCAACCUAAAGGAUCCUUUGAUCGCUAAUAUACUAGGGUAAAAAUGUGUUUAUUUUUUGUUUCUCUUAGUUUCUGUCAUAUAGGAAAGAAUUGAAAAGAUGCCACAAUUGGAUAACUAACUUGGGAAUAUAUUUGCUCUACUAUAAACCUCAUCCCCAAAUAGGCUAGGGUGGUAAAUUUAUAGUAACUAUAAAUACUAAGAAAUAAGAGUUGGGAAAGAUCCUUCACUUUUCCCUAAGAGCUUCAAUGUUUGGAGAAAAAAAUAUUAAAUGAGUAUUUGGGGCUAGCAUGGCAAAGGU